UCAUGUCAGACAGAUAUGUUAAGUUUCCCACAGAAUUUCACUUUUGCUAUUUUUUAUAACUUGCUGUCCAUGAUGAAAUCACAAACGUGGUAACGCACAUCGUCAAAAUACACAGCUCCUAGUGUACACAGGACAAUGUCUUUUUGGCACACUCGCUUAUGAAGCGUGCUGCUACCUGUAACUGUGCAUUUUAGCUGUUCUUGGCUGUUCCCGCUAGGGUGAGCCCUUUAGAUUUGAGUGGCAUAUCAGUGUUACACCACAGAAGAAAAGAAAAAGAGGAUGGAGUACUUGUGUUGCCUCUUAAUGCAGAGUAGACUCACAUACACACAGCACAAAAGUCCAACAUGAUCAAUGCUUUGAUCAUAUUUUCUGUCACACUACUGUGUCUUCCAGGAGUUGCUGGAGCGAAUGAUGUCUCUCAGUCCAAUGAAAUCUUGAUUAAAAAGAGUCAAUCAACCACAAUGAACUGCUCACACACCAAGGGUGCAUCUUACAGCCGGAUGUAUUGGUAUCGUCAGUAUAAUGGAGAGAGUAUGGAACUCAUAGUGUACUCUCCUACAUAUGGCACUCCAGAGUUUGGAAAGUUCAGCCAAAGUAAAUUUGCAGUGACUAAAUCAAAUCCUGAGAGCGGCUCUUUCACAGUAAAGAAUGUGGACUAUAAUGAUAGUGCUGUGUAUUUUUGUGCCGUGAGUGAACACAGUGUUAGAGCUACAGGGCAGAGCUGUACAAAAACACACUGGGGGUCUCAGGAUUGGAGACGCCUAAAGAUGGCAGUAUGAUGCAACAAAUUCUGAUAAAGAUUUAUAAUGAAUUUAAAAUCUAUUUUACCCUAUGUGGAGUCUGGCAGGGUUUUGUGUGUCUUAUUUUGUGUCAUUUAUCAAAUGACUUUGUUUUCUAUCAGCCAAUUAUAGUAAUGAACACUGACAUUUCUGAGGUAACAUUAUACUCCUAGUUGUUUAGUGCAAUAGAGUCAAGGUUGUUAAAGUGCAAAGAGCAAAAUGAAGAAGAUUCAAAGCAUCUGUGCAUUUUUUUAAAUUUUACAGACAGUGGUUUAAAAUCACUGUAAACUUUCUGAAUCAUGUCAGACAGAUAUGUUAAGUUUCCCACAGAAUUUCACAUUUGCUAUUUUUUUAUAACUUGCUGUCCAUGAUGAAAUCACAAACGUGGUAACGCACAUCGUCAAAAUACACAGCUUCCAGUGUACACAGGACAAUGUCUUUUUGGCACACUCGCUUAUGAAGAAUGCUGCCACCUGUAACUGUGCAUUUUAGCUGUUCUUGGCUGUUCCCGCUAGGGUGAGCCCUUUAGAUUCCAGUGGCAUAUCAGUGUUACACCACAGAAGAAAAGAAAAAGAGGAUGGAGUAC